rnacentral:rRNA from 1 species
GAUGAACGCUGGCGGCGUGCCUAAUACAUGCAAGUCGAACGGAAAGGCCCUGCUUUUGUGGGGUUCUCGUUUGCCGAACGGGUGAGUAUCACGUGAGUAUCCCGCCCCUGACUUUGGGAUAACUUCAGGAAACGGGGGCUAUCAUCGGAUAGGAGAUCUUGCUGCACGUUGGUCGUUGGAAAGUUACGGCGGGUGGGGAUGGACUCGCGGCCUAUCAGCUUGUUAGGGGGGUAGUGGAUUACCAAGGCUUUGGCGGGUAGCCGACCUGAGAGGGGGACCAGCGACAGUGGGACUGAGGUACGGCACAGAAUCGUACGUGACGCAACAGUGGGAAAUAUUGCAGAAUAAGCGGAAGCCAGAUGCAGCAACGCCGCGAGCGGGAUGACGGCCUUCGGGGUGUAAACCGCUUUCGCCUGUACCGAAGCGGGAGUGACGGUAAUUGGUAAAAAAGCACCGGCUAACUACGUG